UUUCCUAGGAAGCUGAUGCUUACAACAAUGGAGAUUAGCAAUACCUGGACAGAGUUGAGCUUCAAAGGAUACUGAGAAAUGGCUAAAGCAGAUGAUAAAGAAAAAAUGAGGAAAUGCUGUGAAGAACUAAUAGAACGUUUCAGAAGCAGAACAAGUCGAGAGCAGUGAUGACCCUUUUGUUCCUGCUAGUACCUCCUGUCUGUCUGGCCGAACUCACCAUCAGAUGAUGUCUUGAACCUCACCUAGAUGGGCUGGUGGUGUGUGGCCAGGUUAAGAGCACCAACAGGAGUAAGAAAGUGACCUGCCUGGUUUUACCGUGUGUACUAGGGGAGGGGUUGAAAGCUUUCGGUUGAUACAUCACCUCUGGGAGUUGAAGAAGAAUGCAAUUAAGAGAGCUAAAGAAGUCAGUAGGUAUCUCUCCUGAACAAUUCUGGUUUUCUUCUAAUAGCUUUUACAAUUUUUACCUCUGUUAUGAAAUGCAAACUUUUAACCAAUAUUAGUAAUAGUAAUCUCAAAUCUCAUCAUCAUCAAAAUCUUAUUUAUGAAAUAUAGGAGUUAGUUCAUAUACAGCCUUAGCCUUUUCCACAUUAUAAAAUAUAUUCCAUAUAUAUGUGUGAUCUUCAUUUAAUAUUCAAGUAAAUGUUGUAAGAUAUUGUUAUUUUUAUUCUAACAUUUCACAGGUAUAGAAUCUGAAACUCAGAGGUCAACUGAUGUGUCAAAGAUACCUCCACAAAUCAGUACCUUGAUUAAAACUAAAAUUGGAGUCAUCUUCAUAUCUCCAUCUUUCUCCCUCUUCAUUAGGACCGAUUGUAGUCUGUUUCCCUCUCACUCACUUGCAAUCUUUAUUGCUUUAGUGUUGCAUUUGAUUUUUAUCUUUGUUUUUGUUUUAAAUACUGUCAUUAAAGUCAUAGAAAAAUCUAAAAUAAAACUGGUUGAAUAAAAAUUUUAAAAUCGA
rnacentral:sRNA from 1 species